CUGGUUUGGUUGCCUGGGUUCCUGGAGGCUCUGGCUGUGCCUACCAGCUUUAACCUGGGUUACCCACAGCCGAGGAUACAGACAGGGAACCUCUCAAACAGGCAUAGGAAUCAAGAUCACAGAGAUGAUCAGGAGGCCUGGGAUCAGAGCUGUGAUUUAUUAAUUGCCUCUGAGGCGUGAGGCUCAUGCAGUGCUCUGUAUCUGCCUGUGGUAUACACAGUGAUGAGCCACCUGGGGCCUCCUUCAAGCUGCCGAUACAGCUGCCAGGAUUCCUGCUGAAAGAUGCCCUUCUGUACAAGGCCAUGCCCUUCCCUGAGUGAAGGACACCAGUGACUGAUCAAGGUGUGUCUGUAAGAACUGGCCAAUUUCAGCACAAUUCAGGACUUCUCUGACAGAGCAUUUCAGCUCUCAGGCUCUCCUGAGGUCAUCCUAGGCUGCCCUGACCUACAAAGCAGUCUGACUUCUACCUCUAUCCCAUGUGCCCCUUUCUCUUUGGUAGAUAUUUUCCCAAACACUGCCUUUUAUCAACAUCCUACAUGUGAAACUCUGCCCUCCUCUGCUUCUGGAAGAACCCAGCCUGUGACAGGGAUGAUGGGAUGAUCUCUUCCUUUAACCUCUGAGGAAUGUCGAGGAAGAACUGAGAAGCAAGAAGAGCAGGGCAGGAGUACUUCCCAAGUUCUCGACAGUGUUUUGUGUUAGCAUUCAGGCAUCUGUCCUGGCAGCCACUAAGAGCAUCCCCUGUGCUCAGUUGCUACCUUCCCUCAGUUCCCUUAAAUGGCAGCCUUGCCCACCUCCCGUCUCUUUCUGUCCCACUGCUCUUGUCCCCAGGGACCUGUCUCUGCUCCCUUCUCUGCCUCGUCUCUCUCCUCUUCCAAUAAACCUCCCACGUGA